UACGUAGGGGGCAAGCGUUGUCCGGAAUCAUUGGGCGUAAAGAGCGUGUAGGCGGCCCGAUAAGUCCGCUGUGAAAGUCCAGGGCUCAACCCUGGGAUGCCGGUGGAUACUGUCGGGCUCGAGUCCGGAAGAGGCGAGUGGAAUUCCCGGCGUAGCGGUGAAAUGCGCAGAUAUCGGGAGGAACACCAAUGGCGAAGGCAGCUCGCUGGGACGGUACUGACGCUGAGACGCGAAAGCGUGGGGAGCAAACAGG
rnacentral:rRNA from 1 species